AUUGAACGCUGGCGGCAGGCCUAACACAUGCAAGUCGAGCGAGCGGCGGACGGGUGAGUAAUGUAUGGGGACUGCCCGAUAGAGGGGGAUAACUACUGGAAACGGUGGCUAAUACCGCAUACUAUCGGAUAACCCAUAUGGGAUUAGCUAGUCGGUGGGGUAAAGGCUCACCUAGGCGACGAUCCCUAGCUGGUCUGAGAGGAUGACCAGCCACACUGGAACUGAGAAACGGCCCAGACGCCUACGGAGGCAGCAGUGGGGAAUAUUGCACAAUGGGCGCAAGCCUGAUGCAGCCAUGCCGCGUGUAUGAAGAAGGCCUUAGGGUUGUAAAGUACUUUCAGUCGGGAGGCGUUACCGGCAGAAGAAGCACCGGCUAACUCCGUGCCAGCAGCCGCGGUAAUUC
rnacentral:rRNA from 1 species